GCUUUCUUUUUCAAGCCGUUCCGCUCAUCAUCGAAGAGCUUUGGCAAGGUGGGUUAGAGCGCCGGAUCGAACGCACGCACUGCAGCAAUUCAAGGAUCUAGGGUUCGACCCCUACCUUACCAGUCUUAACUUGGAUAAACAUUGUGCUGGCAUGCGGUAGUAUAUCAGUAGUAUGUGACGUCCCUUCAAAACCCCGGGGUAGCGGUAGUACUGCACUGGCUGGAUUUCCUACCUACAGUGUAGAGCGUAUCUGCAACGACAACCAUCCACCUCUCUAAAUUUCCAUGCACUUUAUUUUUCUUAAUGGCCAGUAAAUCAUAUGCUAUUUUCCCCUGAGCAUCAGGCACCUCUGCGUGAUUCCACCAACUUCCUGGUCGGAGGUGCAGACACAUGUUGGGAGCCUACAAACGAGCUAGAAGAAACAGCCGUUAGAACAGUGACUCCAAGUGUGUUGGCAUGUCGGCUGGUUGCACCUGCGGCCUCCCCCACUGCAAUAACGCGGACAGACAGUGCCAGCACCUUUACAGGCGCCCCUGGAGCGUUGGGUUGCCCACCUGCGGC
rnacentral:lncRNA from 1 species